UUUUUUUUUUUUUCAGUUUGGGGGUUGGUUUUGUCACAGCCAGAGCUGUAGAACAGCUGAGUGAAAGAAAAGGAUAGAAAGUUGGGAACGAUUUCAAACUGGAGGUGAAGUACAUCGCUUUUGGUUUUUGGGUUAACAUCUUUUCAGAAUUGCAUUGAUAGAAGCAGGAGAGUGUCAGAGACAAUAAGCGUUGAAGAGGUAUCUUGAAUAUGAAUAUGAAGAACCUUGAGCAAACAGUAUUUAUACUUGAAGUAACUAGAUGAUAGCCCUGCCUACAAAAUAGUUUUAACGGUGAAGAAUAUGUGCAGUAUGUGAAGUGAUAGUAUUUUGAUCAUUACUUGAAAUAACUAGAUGACUACCCUGACUACAAACAUAGUUUUUUACUUUGAAGAAUAAUGUGCAAUUUGCAAAGUGAACAUAAGCUGAUCUGUGAUCAUCAGACAAACCUCAAAGUUCCUUGUUUCAUAUGCGUGACUUUAAAGAAUAUUUUGUCAGUCCAGGUGCAAUGUACGUAGAUAUUUUGGAUUCCCUGAAUCUGUUGUCCUCAUAAUUCAGACAUAAUUCAUUGAUGCUAUUAUUUUCA